GACGAACGCUGGCGGCGUGCUUAACACAUGCAAGUCGAACGAUGAUGCCCAGCUUGCUGGGCGGAUUAGUGGCGAACGGGUGAGUAAUACGUGAGUAACCUGCCCUUGACUCUGGGAUAAGCCUGGGAAACUGGGUCUAAUACUGGAUACUACCUCUUACCGCAUGGUGGGUGGUGGAAAGGGUUUUACUGGUUUUGGAUGGGCUCACGGCCUAUCAGCUUGUUGGUGGGGUAAUGGCUCACCAAGGCGACGACGGGUAGCCGGCCUGAGAGGGUGACCGGCCACACUGGGACUGAGACACGGCCCAGACUCCUACGGGAGGCAGCAGUGGGGAAUAUUGCACAAUGGGCGGAAGCCUGAUGCAGCGACGCCGCGUGAGGGAUGACGGCCUUCGGGUUGUAAACCUCUUUCAGUAGGGAAGAAGCGAGAGUGACGGUACCUGCAGAAGAAGCGCCGGCUAACUACGUGCCAGCAGCCGCGGUAAUACGUAGGGCGCAAGCGUUGUCCGGAAUUAUUGGGCGUAAAGGGCUCGUAGGCGGUUUGUCGCGUCUGCUGUGAAAGCCCGGGGCUCAACCCCGGGUCUGCAGUGGGUACGGGCAGACUAGAGUGCAGUAGGGGAGACUGGAAUUCCUGGUGUAGCGGUGAAAUGCGCAGAUAUCAGGAGGAACACCGAUGGUGAAGGCAGGUCUCUGGGCUGUUACUGACGCUGAGGAGCGAAAGCAUGGGGAGCGAACUGGAUUAGAUACCCUGGUAGUCCAUGCCGUAAACGUUGGGCACUAGGUGUGGGGGACAUUCCACGUUUUCCGCGCCGUAGCUAACGCAUUAAGUGCCCCGCCUGGGGAGUACGGCCGCAAGGCUAAAACUCAAAGGAAUUGACGGGGGCCCGCACAAGCGGCGGAGCAUGCGGAUUAAUUCGAUGCAACGCGAAGAACCUUACCAAGGCUUGACAUUCACCGGACCGCCCCAGAGAUGGGGUUUCCCUUCGGGGUUGGUGGACAGGUGGUGCAUGGUUGUCGUCAGCUCGUGUCGUGAGAUGUUGGGUUAAGUCCCGCAACGAGCGCAACCCUCGUUCUAUGUUGCCAGCGCGUGAUGGUGGGGACUCAUAGGAGACUGCCGGGGUCAACUCGGAGGAAGGUGGGGAUGACGUCAAAUCAUCAUGCCCCUUAUGUCUUGGGCUUCACGCAUGCUACAAUGGCCGGUACAAAGGGUUGCGAUACUGUGAGGUGGAGCUAAUCCCAAAAAGCCGGUCUCAGUUCGGAUUGAGGUCUGCAACUCGACCUCAUGAAGUCGGAGUCGCUAGUAAUCGCAGAUCAGCAACGCUGCGGUGAAUACGUUCCCGGGCCU
rnacentral:rRNA from 1 species